AUGGCUGUAGCAACCUGGGUGAUCUUUCGGCUUGACCAAGUGCAGGAAAGCCGCAUUCUAACGGACCAGGAGUUGUGGCUUAGGCGUGCCCUCAAGCUCGCUCUGUUGGGGAUGGCUUCCCUUGAAAGAACCAUUGAGAGGCAGGGAUCACGGAUGAGAUGGAUUAGAGAGGGCGAUGCAAAUACAAAACUGUUCCAAGCUUUUGCCAAUGGAAGACGAGCCAAAAACUUCAUACCUUUUGUUAGAGUUGGAGAUACUAUAUACACGGAUCAAAGGCAGAAAGAAGAAGUGUUCACAGCUGCGUUUGAAGCAAGGCUUGGAACCGAUCAAGCACGCGAAUUUACGAUCGAUUUGGACUACUUGGGUAUCCAACCAAUUGAGCUAGCGGACCUAGAUGACAUGUUCACCGAAAAGGAAGUCUUUGAGGCUAUAAAUGAGCUGCACCCGGACAGAGCUCCGGGUCCUGAUGGCUUCAUUGGAGCGUUCUACCAGAGAGCAUGGCCUAUCAUCAAGAAUGACAUCAUGGCAGCAGUGCACAAGCUUUACGUGUGUGAUGGAACCGGUUUUGCCAAACUCAACCAGGCAUACAUUAUGCUUAUUCCGAAGAAAAGCGAUGCUGAGGAGGUGGGCGAUUUCCGACCCAUUAGUUUGACACACAGCUUUGAAAAGCUGUUUGCAAAGAUGCUCACAACUAGAAUCAGGAGACAGAUGAAAGCCCUCGUCAGUGCAAAUCAAUCUGCAUUUAUUAAGGGCAGAGUGCUCCAUGAUAACUUCCUAAUGGUUAACAAUGUUGCAAGAAGAAUUCACGCUAGGAGAGCUCCAGGUGUGUUUCUGAAGUUGGAUAUCUCGAAAGCUUUCGACACACUCUCCUGGCCUUUCCUCUUCCAAGUGCUGAGAGCCAAAGGAUUUGGUCCAAGAUUCAUUCGAUGGCUGGAAAUCUUGCUGCAAUCUGCGAGCACAAAGGUGGUUGUCAAUGGAUGCCCGGGAAAAAGAUUCUAUCACUGCCGAGGACUGAGACAGGGCGAUCCUAGCUCGCCACUACUCUUUGUUAUAGCCAUGGACAUUCUUACAGCUGUGAUU
rnacentral:rRNA from 1 species